rnacentral:rRNA from 1 species
AACGAACGCUGGCGGCAUGCCUAACACAUGCAAGUCGAACGAGACCUUCGGGUCUAGUGGCGCACGGGUGCGUAACGCGUGGGAACCUGCCCUUAGGUUCGGAAUAACUCCCCGAAAGGGGUGCUAAUACCGGAUAAUGUCUUCGGACCAAAGAUUUAUCGCCUUUGGAUGGGCCCGCGUUGGAUUAGAUAGUUGGUAGGGUAAAAGCCUACCAAGGCGACGAUCCAUAGCUGGUCUGAGAGGAUGAUCAGCCACACUGGGACUGAGACACGGCCCAGACUCCUACGGGAGGCAGCAGUGGGGAAUAUUGGACAAUGGGCGAAAGCCUGAUCCAGCAAUGCCGCGUGAGUGAUGAAGGCCUUAGGGUUGUAAAGCUCUUUUACCCGGGAUGAUAAUGACAGUACCGGGAGAAUAAGCUCCGGCUAACUCCGU